rnacentral:rRNA from 1 species
UCUUCGGAGGACAAAGUGACAGGUGGUGCAUGGUUGUCGUCAGCUCGUGUCGUGAGAUGUUGGGUUAAGUCCCGCAACGAGCGCAACCCUUGAACUUAGUUGCCAUCAUUCAGUUGGGCACUCUAAGUUGACUGCCGGUGACAAACCGGAGGAAGGUGGGGAUGACGUCAAAUCAUCAUGCCCCUUAUGAUUUGGGCUACACACGUGCUACAAUGGACAAUACAAAGGGCAGCGAAACCGCGAGGUCAAGCAAAUCCCAUAAAGUUGUUCUCAGUUCGGAUUGUAGUCUGCAACUCGACUACAUGAAGCUGGAAUCGCUAGUAAUCGUAGAUCAGCAUGCUACGGUGAAUACGUUCCCGGGUCUUGUACACACCGCCCGUCACACCACGAGAGUUUGUAACACCCG